GGAAGACUUUUUAGCUCGACCGGUCUAUUCUUCUUCUUCACCUAGUGGCCACCUCUAUGCUUCACUGGACUGUUGUCGCCUAGAUCUUGUUCUCUCCCUUUCUGCAUGCUGUUUUCUUAAGUACAAGUAUGGGUGAGGAAAAGGUUCAUAUCGACGUUGUUGUUAUUGGCUUGGAUGAGAAAACUGAAGAUGUUGGUGUGAACCCUGAAAACAGUCAUGCACAUACCAAAGAACAAACAAGUGAUACUGCAAAGGGACAAGAUGUGGAAGAUGGUACGGAUAUUGAUGCUGUUGAUAGAAAUUUGAAUUGUUUGACAGAAGAACGACUAGAGAAAGUUGAGACAGUUGGUAUGAGCACUGAAAGCAGCCAUGAUGUGCUUGCAGAUUCGAGCAUCUUGCAUCAGAAAACUGAGGAAACUGUUUCUAGCUCAAACAGGGAAGAUCAAUCUUCAGCAACCACAAACGAUUGUGAAGGAAGAGAACAAGAUUCUGCAGUUCAUGCAUAUUCCAAAGAACAAACAAGCGACACUGCUAUAGGGGAAAA